GCUCACAUAAGCAGAGCAUAUGCUAAAAUUGGAACAAUACAGAGAAGAUUAGUAUGGCCUCUGCACAAGCAUGACAUGUAAAUUUUUGAAUUAUUACAUAUUAGG